rnacentral:miRNA from 1 species
CUGGGUGUGUGUGUGUGUGUGUGUGUGUGUGUGUGUGUGUGUGUGUUGCUGUCCCUCAGCUCAGCCCACACCCUCUCGC